AUGGCGCCCAGCACUCGUAGGGCCAAUGCCAUCCUCGUCGUGGGGAUGCUCCUCGCGGCUGCCAUGGCAGCGGUGGCGGCCGAGGCGGCGGCUGAGGUGUCGUGCGGAGACGCGGUAAGCGCGCUGAUCCCGUGCGGGUCGUUCCUGGUGGGCGCCGUCGCCGGGGCGCCGAGCGAGAGCUGCUGCCGCGGCGCGCAGGGGCUGCGGAGGAUGGCGGGCACGCCGGGCGCACGGCGCGCGCUCUGCAGGUGCCUGGAGCAGUCCGGCCCGUCAUUCGGCGUGCUCCCGGACCGCGCCCGGCAGCUCCCGGCGCUCUGCAAGCUCGGCAUCUCCAUCCCCGUCAGCCCCCACACCGACUGCGACAAG
rnacentral:rRNA from 1 species